UACAGAGGUCCCAAGCGUUGUUCGGAUUCACUGGGCGUAAAGGGUGCGUAGGCGGUCGGGUAAGUCUGAUGUGAAAUCUCACAGCUUAACUGUGAAACUGCAUUGGAUACUAUCCGGCUAGAGGGAUGGAGGGGAGACUGGAAUACUUGGUGUAGCAGUGAAAUGCGUAGAUAUCAAGUGGAACACCAGUGGCGAAGGCGAGUCUCUGGACAUUUCCUGACGCUGAGGCACGAAAGCCAGGGGAGCAAACAGG
rnacentral:rRNA from 1 species